rnacentral:rRNA from 1 species
UAGAACGCUGAAGGAGGAGCUUGCUCUUCUGGAUGAGUUGCGAACGGGUGAGUAACGCGUAGGUAACCUGCCUGGUAGCGGGGGAUAACUAUUGGAAACGAUAGCUAAUACCGCAUAACAGUAGAUGUUGCAUGACAUUUGCUUAAAAGGUGCAAUUGCAUCACUACCAGAUGGACCUGCGUUGUAUUAGCUAGUUGGUGGGGUAACGGCUCACCAAGGCGACGAUACAUAGCCGACCUGAGAGGGUGAUCGGCCACACUGGGACUGAGACACGGCCCAGACUCCUACGGGAGGCAGCAGUAGGGAAUCUUCGGCAAUGGACGGAAGUCUGACCGAGCAACGCCGCGUGAGUGAAGAAGGUUUUCGGAUCGUAAAGCUCUGUUGUAAGAGAAGAACGAGUGUGAGAGUGGAAAGUUCACACUGUGACGGUAUCUUACCAGAAAGGGACGGCUAACUACGUGCCAGCAGCCGCGGUAAUACGUAGGUCCCGAGCGUUGUCCGGAUUUAUUGGGCGUAAAGCGAGCGCAGGCGGUUAGAUAAGUCUGAAGUUAAAGGCUGUGGCUUAACCAUAGUACGCUUUGGAAACUGUUUAACUUGAGUGCAAGAGGGGAGAGUGGAAUUCCAUGUGUAGCGGUGAAAUGCGUAGAUAUAUGGAGGAACACCGGUGGCGAAAGCGGCUCUCUGGCUUGUAACUGACGCUGAGGCUCGAAAGCGUGGGGAGCAAACAGGAUU